rnacentral:rRNA from 1 species
GACGAACGCUGGCGGCGUGCCUAAUACAUGCAAGUCGAACGCAGUGGGGACGGGUGAGUAACACGUGGGUAACCUCCCAUCAGAGGGGAUAAAACUUGGAAACAGGUGCUAAAACGAUACUGAUGGAUGGACCCGCGGUGCAUUAGCUGGUUGGUGAGGUAACGGCUCACCAAGGCCACGAUGCAUAGCAGGCCUGAGAGGGUGAUCAGCCACACUGGGACUGAGACACGGCCCAGACUCCUACGGGAGGCAGCAGUAGGGAAUCUUCGGCAAUGGACGAAAGUCUGACCGAGCAAUGCCGAGUGAGUGAAGAAGGGUUUCGGGUUGUAAAAUUCUGUUGUUAGGGAAGCGGUAUCUAACCAGAAAGCAACGGCUAACUCCGUGCCAGCAGCCGCGGUAAUAC